UGCAGUGAGACGGGCUCCCACAU
rnacentral:piRNA from 1 species